AGAGAGGAAGAUCAUCUUUUCAUGUAGCUUGUGUUCCCUAAUGAUACAUAGUCCCUCUUCUGAAUUUAUAAGGGAAGGGAGUGACAUCAAGCAAAUUAAGAAAGAAGCAGAAAGACUUCUACAACAACAAGAAGCUGCAUGCAACUAGCAACAACAACCAGCAACAAGGAUAAAACUAAGCAAAGAUAGAGCCAUUUUCAAUCCGCAAGAGUUGCAAAGAUCCUGUCAGACCAUGGAGGCCAAACGAACAGGUUCAAAAAUGCAAGCAGAAAAUGCUUAAAAUUGGUCUUAGCAGCCUUUUCUUUUGUUCCCUUUUUCUUUCUAAAUUUAGUUCUCUACAGAUUUUUUUUUCCCUUUCUCAGCAAAAGCUACUACUAACUGUUAGUGCCAUGGCUUAACAGUAUCAGUACUGAUUUUGCCUCUACUCCAUCCAGUAGAAAGCUGUCAUCACCCCUUGUAUUUAAUUCAUAUCACCUACUUGUUGCCUUGUUGAAGAACAUGACAGAUAUUAGUCGAUGUCUAAACAACAUUCCAGUAUUAAUAUGGAGAAACAUCAAUCCAAUAAUGCCAA